GAUGAACGCUGGCGGCGUGCCUAAUACAUGCAAGUCGAGCGAACGGACGAGAAGCUUGCUUUUCUGAUGUUAGCGGCGGACGGGUGAGUAACACGUGGAUAACCUACCUAUAAGACUGGGAUAACUUCGGGAAACCGGGGCUAAUACCGGAUAAUAUUUUGAACCGCAUGGUUCAAAAGUGAAAGACGGUCUUGCUGUCACUUAUAGAUGGAUCCGCGCUGCAUUAGCUAGUUGGUAAGGUAACGGCUUACCAAGGCAACGAUGCAUAGCCGACCUGAGAGGGUGAUCGGCCACACUGGAACUGAGACACGGUCCAGACUCCUACGGGAGGCAGCAGUAGGGAAUCUUCCGCAAUGGGCGAAAGCCUGACGGAGCAACGCCGCGUGAGUGAUGAAGGUCUUCGGAUCGUAAAACUCUGUUAUUAGGGAAGAACAUAUGUGUAAGUAACUGUGCACAUCUUGACGGUACCUAAUCAGAAAGCCACGGCUAACUACGUG
rnacentral:rRNA from 1 species